rnacentral:lncRNA from 1 species
UAGGGCACAUUUCCAACAAUCUCCCACUUGCACUAGAGCCAAUCAGCUUGAUCAUCAGUGAUGAUACCUCUUCUGUAGUCAUUUCAUAAAUGGCUGAGUAGUAGGUCUAGACAAUGGAUAUCUAUAUGUUAUCCAUAGAAGCAACCUUGAGAAUAAUGACGUCACCAUUAUACAUGAUUCUCAAUCAUGUGGUUCAGUCUCUCAUUUGUGUUCGGAUCUUGAUGAGACCU